AGGAUGAACGCUGGCGGCGUGCCUAACACAUGCAAGUCGAACGUCCUGUCUCGCAAGAGGCAGGGAGUGGCGGACGGGUGAGUACCACGUGGGUUAUCUACCGUGAGGUGAGGAAUACCGGCGAGAAAUCGCCGACAAGACCGCAUAGCCUCGGUGCAAGCCGAGCAAAGCUCUUUCGAGAGAGGGAGCGCCACACGAGGAGCCUGCGCCCGAUUAGCUAGCUGGUGGAGUAACGGUUCACCAGGGCGACGAUCGGUAGCUGGUCUGAGAGGACGAUCAGCCACACUGGGAUUGAGAACGGCCCAGACUCCUACGGGGGGCAGCAGUGAGGAAUUUUCGUCAAUGGGGCAACCCUGAACGAGCAACGCCGCGUGCAGGAAGAAGGUUUUCGGAUCGUAAACUGCUUUUCUCGGGGAAGAGAACGGACGGUACCCGAGGAAUCAGCCCCGGCUAACUACGUGCCAGCAGCCGCGGU
rnacentral:rRNA from 1 species